rnacentral:rRNA from 1 species
GACGAACGCUGGCGGCGUGCUUAACACAUGCAAGUCGAACGGAAAGGCCCUGCUUUUGUGGGGUGCUCGAGUGGCGAACGGGUGAGUAACACGUGAGUAACCUGCCCUUGACUUUGGGAUAACUUCAGGAAACUGGGGCUAAUACCGGAUAGGAGCUCCUGCUGCAUGGUGGGGGUUGGAAAGUUUCGGCGGUUGGGGAUGGACUCGCGGCUUAUCAGCUUGUUGGUGGGGUAGUGGCUUACCAAGGCUUUGACGGGUAGCCGGCCUGGGAGGGUGACCGGCCACAUUGGGACUGAAAUACGGCCCAGACUCCUACGGGAGGCAGCAGUGGGGAAUAUUGCACAAGGGGCGGAAGCCUGAUGCAGCAACGCCGCGUGCGGGAUGACGGCCUUCGGGUUGUAAACCGCUUUCGCCUGUGACGAAGCGUGAGUGACGGUAAUGGGUAAAGAAGCACCGGCUAACUACGUG